rnacentral:lncRNA from 1 species
UGCUGCUCCCUCUCCCCCGUCGCUGCCCCUGACGCCCUCCGCCUCUUCUCCCUCGCCCGACCACCUCUCCCUCUCCCCCGACCGCUCUCCCUCUUCCUCAAAGCUUCUCUCUUCGGCUUCGUCGCCCAUCCCCCGUCGUCGUGCCGCCGGGAGCUUGAUCGCCCCUUCCAUGACCACGCAGGAGAAGUGAGGCAAGGGAGGAAGAAGGGAGGGGAGAAGCUUCGGGAAGGAGGAAAAAGAAAGAAGAGAAGGAAAAGAGAAGAAAAGAAAAA